ensembl:miRNA MIR4479 microRNA 4479
GAAACCAAGUCCGAGCGUGGCUGGCGCGGGAAAGUUCGGGAACGCGCGCGGCCGUGCUCGGAGCAGCGCCA